GAUCCUGGCUCAGAGUGAACGCUGGCGGCGUGCUUAACACAUGCAAGUCGAACGGUAACAGGAAGUAGCUUGCUACUUUGCUGACGAGUGGCGCACGGGUGAGUAAUAUAUAGUUAAUGUACCUCAAAGACUGGGAUAGCCACUGGAAACGGUGAUUAAUACUAGAUAUACCUUUAUAACAAAAGUUGUAAAGGGAAACGUUUUUUCGCUUUGAGAUCAGACUAUAUCCCAUCAGUUAGUUGGUAGUGUAAGAGACUACCAAGGCAAUGACGGGUAGCGGGUUUGAGAGGAUGAUCCGCCACACUGGUACUGAGACACGGACCAGACUCCUACGGGAGGCAGCAGUGAGGAAUAUUGCACAAUGGAGGAAACUCUGAUGCAGCAACGCCGCGUGGAGGAUGACGCAUUUCGGUGUGUAAACUCCUUUUAUGAGUCAAGAAAAUGACGGUAGCUCAUGAAUAAGCACCGGCUAACUCCGUG
rnacentral:rRNA from 1 species